rnacentral:tRNA from 1 species
CGAUCCGAACCAAAAAUCAUGGUUUGAUCUUGUAAGUCACACUCUGAUGCCUGAUCACAAAUUGG